rnacentral:misc_RNA from 1 species
GAUGAAGAACGUAGCAAAAUGCGAUAAGUAAUGUGAAUUGCAGAAUUCAGUGAAUCAUCGAAUCUUUGAACGCACAUUGCGCCCGCUGGUAUUCCGGCGGGCAUGCCUGUUCGAGCGUCAUUUCAACCCUCAAGCCCCCGGGUUUGGUGUUGGGGAUCGGCUCUGCCCUUCUGGGCGGUGCCGCCCCCGAAAUACAUUGGCGGUCUCGCUGCAGCCUCCAUUGCGUAGUAGCUAACACCUCGCAACUGGAACGCGGCGCGGCCAUGCCGUAAAACCCCAACUUCUGAAUGUUGACCUCGGAUCAGGUAGGAAUACCCGCUGAACUUAAGCAUAUCAAUAAGCGGAGGGA